UAGGGAAUAUUGGACAAUGGGCGAAAGCCUGAUCCAGCAACGCCGCGUGCACGACGACGGCCUUCGGGUUGUAAAGUGCUUUUAGGAGAGAUGAGAAAGGACAGUAUCUCCUGAAUAAGCCUCGGCGAACUACGUGCCAGCAGCCGCGGUAAAACGUAGGAGGCGAGCGUUAUCCGGAUUUAUUGGGCGUAAAGCGCGUGCAGGCGGUUUGGUAAGUUGGAUGUGAAAGCUCCUGGCUUAACUGGGAGAGGUCGUUCAAAACUACCAGACUAGAGAAUGGGAGAGGGAAGUGGAAUUCCGGGUGUAGUGGUGAAAUGCGUAGAUAUCCGGAGGAACACCAGUGGCGAAAGCGGCUUCCUGGACCAUUUCUGACGCUAAGGCGCGAAAGCUAGGGGAGCGAACGG
rnacentral:rRNA from 1 species